GCAGGGCUGUGAUUCCCGUGAGGACACGCAAAUCCCCGGGGCCUUACCGAUCCCAACGGGAGCUGUUCCUGCCUCGGUCCGUGGACCUUGGCAUACGGCGCCCACCUACGUUAGUAGGUUCCCGGGAUCGCACGAUCCCACGGUCUUACGGCUCUGUC
rnacentral:other from 1 species